AUUCCCCUAGUAAUGGCGAAUGAAACGGGAAGAGCCCAUCGUCGAAUCGCAAGUCAUCUCGGCUUUGUGAAAUGUGACGUUUGGGAGGGUCGCCCACGGUUCAGACGAUCAGUCCAAGUCCAACUUGACAGUGGCCACAGCCCAUAGAGGGUGAUAGGCCCGUAAGGCGGUUGUCUGGCUGUGCUGACCUCUCUCUAGAGUCGGAUUGCUUGGGAGUGCAGUCCAAAGUGCGAGGUAAACUCCUCGUAAGGCUAAAUAUAACCCCGAGACCGAUAGCAAACAAGUACAGUGAUGGAAAAUUGAAAAGAACUUUGAAGAGAGAGUUAAGAGUACGUGAAACUGUGUGGUGGUAAACGGAGGCGUUCUCGAAGUGUCCGUGGGGGACUCAAGCUUGGUGGCUGGCAGCCGGUGCUCCUUGAUCAGCAAUGACUGGGCGUGCCGUGCGGGCUUGCCUCCCGGCCGCACUUUCCCCGCCGGUUGACGGCAGGAACUGUUGGGACCGGACCAAAGGCCUGGGAUGAAGUUGCUUGCCCUCACGGGCUUGUAGCUCCCGGUGUCCUGGCUUCGGGCCCGACGGGGUAUGAGUGGACUUGUAUAGCAA
rnacentral:rRNA from 1 species